rnacentral:rRNA from 1 species
UAGGGAAUAUUGGUAAUCUGGGCAACCGGGAACCAGCAACGCCGCGUGUGCGAUGCAGGCCUUCGGGUUGUAAAGCACUUUUUGAGGGGAUGAGGAAGGACAGUACCCUCAGAAUAAGCCUCGGCUAACUACGUGCCAGCAGCCGCGGUAACACGUAGGAGGCGAGCGAUAUUCGGAUUUACUGGGCGUACAGCGCGUGCAGGCGGCUCGAUAAGUUGGAUGUGAAAGCUCCCGGCUUAACUGGGAUAGGUCGUUCAAUACUGUCGGACUAGAGGAUGAGAGAGGGAGGUGGAAUUCCGAGUGUAGUGGUGGAAUGCGUAGAUAUUCGGAGGAACACCAGUGGCGAAAGCGGCCUCCUGGCUCAUAUCUGACGCUCAGACGCGAAAGCUAGGGUAGCAAACG